AAUGAACGUUGGCGGCAUGGAUUAGGCAUGCAAGUCGUACGAGAAGCCAAUUAGCUUGCUAAGAGGCGGACAGUGGCGAAAGGGAGAGUAACGCGUGGUUACCUACCCUCAGGACCGGGAUAGCGUCGGGAAACUGGCAGUAAUACCGGAUAACAUCUACGGAUCAAAUGGUGUGAUUCCGCCUGAGGACUGGACUGCGUACUAUUAGCUUGUUGGUGGGGUAAUGGCCUACCAAGGCUGCGAUGGUUACCGGGUGUGAGAGCAUGGCCCGGCUCACUGGGACUGAGACACUGCCCAGACACCUACGGGUGGCUGCAGUCGAGAAUCUUCGGCAAUGGACGAAAGUCUGACCGAGCGAUGCCGCGUGCGGGAUGAAGGCCCUCGGGUUGUAAACCGCUGUCAGUUGGAAGGAAAUGUUAUAGGGUUCUCUCUAUAGCUUGACCGAUCUUCAGAGGAAGGACGGGCUAAGUACG
rnacentral:rRNA from 1 species